AGUCGAUAUCUGGAUUUAAAGGAUAUUUCCUGGUUUUAACAUCACAGACUCUGCUUUCACUCUGUUGUAACUUUAUUCAAAUGUGUUAGAUUUGUAGAUUAACUAAACUUAGUGUCCAUUUUUACAAGUUAAGACCAGAGUCUUCACCUUUAAGAUAUCAGCUUUAUUCUGCGAAGGUAAGAAUGGCAAAUGCUACCAGGUCUGAAGGAAAUUAAUAUUUGAAACAAGGAAGUUUUAGCUGAAAGUAACCGAAGAACAGCCAUCUUUAUCUUUAAUUUGUUAUGGUAACCAUAUGUGUGCCGUGACAAAAUGGUGAUACAAACAUGUCUAAUUAUCACACAGUACAAAUCUUACAGAUCUUGUGUAAAAAAAACAUUAAAGACAACAACAACAACAAAAAUAUGCAGAUACAAUUUCUGCAACACAAAAUGAGACUUGGAAAUUAAUAAAGGCACUUUUUUCUAGACAGCAAAACAUGAGGCUGUUUGCACACAAAAAAAAAAUAUAUUACAGACAUUUAAAAAAAAGUCUGUACAAAGAUAAAUAUUAGUUUUGAUGACAUUUGACAAUAAAUGUGUUAAUUAUUGACACUACAGUCCCACAUGUGUACACUUUGUAAAGUUCACUCCAUACAUUGCACAACCAUGCGGAAAAAUUAAAAUGGAAAUACAUGUAUAUAUAUUUUUGAAUUGUUACUGCAGUUUUAGAUUAUGUUUAUAAGUUAAUCAGUUUGUUACUCUCGGUAAGAAUAAGAAAGCUACCCUUACAAUAAUUGUUUCUUUUUUCUUUUCUUUCAUUUUAAAAUCUAAUCACACCCCAAAAUCAAAUAUGCAAUAAAUAUAAAAAUAAUGUGACUACCGAUAUACAAUUUUGAUUACUGGCAAUUAUUUCUGUCUCUUUGCAAAUAAACGGCGGCUUACCGGCUUAUUUUCUGUAUUUUAACACCUAUUUCACUAGGUUUACUUAUUUUCUGUAUUUUAACACCCAUUUCACUAGGUUUACUUAUUUUCUGUAUUUUAACACCUACUUCACUAGGUUUACCUUGAAAGUCACUUACUAUGGGUUUUCACAAUUAAAACUCUUCACAUACAUGGUAUAUCUUUUUAAUCCUUAAAACAUGCUAAUUUUGAUUUGUUAAAUUUCAGAAAUUAAACGCCUAAAAGAACUCAAUAAGAUCAAAUGAAACAGAGAUGGCAAAACACAAACAGGAGUUGGGUGUGAUAGUGGUGAGCUUUGUUUACUAUUAGUAAUUCAGUCCACCCAAUUCUGGUCCGUCCUGCCUGCCUGCCCCCCCCCCCCCCCCCCCCCCCCCAUCUUGAUAUAUUUCUGACAUUUCCGAAAAAACAAGUAUGGGUGGAUUUUCGAUGGUUUAAGCCUAAAUUACACUACACGACAUGAUGCAAUUGCCAGCUGAGUCAAGUUGCAUUACAUACACCACAUUGUAACCUAGAUUUCAGGAUAUAUAUCACUUACAGCAACCUUUAACUCUCAUCCUCGUAACUAAACCACAAGACCUAUCAACCUGUCAAAAUGAUUGAAGAGUUUUAAAAAAAAAACUGAACCCCUCUCUCAACAAAUAUGCGUACAAUAUUCAGCAAGCAGUUAAAAUAAAAAAUGUAUAUAGCUAAAUUUUAAGGCACAAAAAUAAGUUCAUAUAAGCUGACAAUAUUUAUAUAUAUAUAAAAAAUAAUUUAAAUUAAUCGACAUGACUGAAUACAAUAUAUAUAUAUAUAUACACCAUAUUAUAAAGUAGAUUAAAUUAAACUUCAAGUAUUAAAAAAAAAA